rnacentral:rRNA from 1 species
AUUGAACGCUGGCGGCAGGCCUAACACAUGCAAGUCGAACGAGUGGCGGACGGGUGAGUAAUGUCUGGGAAACUGCCCGAUGGAGGGGGAUAUCUACUGGAAACGGUAGCUAAUACCGCAUACCAUCGGAUGUGCCCAGAUGGGAUUAGCUAGUAGGUGGGGUAACGGCUCACCUAGGCGACGAUCCCUAGCUGGUCUGAGAGGAUGACCAGCCACAAUGGAAAUGAGACACGGACCAGACUCCUCCGGGAGGCAGCAGUGGAGAAUAUUGCACAAUGGGAGCAAGCCUGAUGCAGCCAUGCGGCGUGUAUGAAGAAGGCCUUCGGGUUGUAAAAUACUUUCAGCGAGGAGGCGUUACUCGAAGAAGAAGCACCGGCUAACUCCGUGCCAGCAGCCGCGGUAAUUC